rnacentral:rRNA from 1 species
GACGAACGCUGGCGGCGUGCUUAACACACGCAAGUCGAGCGGUAAGGCCCUUUCGGGGGUACACGAGCGGCGAACGGGUGAGUAACACGUGGGUGACCUGCCCUCAGCUCUGGGAUAAGCCUGGGAAACUGGGUCUAAUACUGGAUAUGACUCCACGGUGCAUGUCGUGGGGUGGAAAGCCUUGUGCGGCUGAGGAUGGGCCCGCGGCCUAUCAGCUUGUUGGUGGGGUGAUGGCCUACCAAGGCGACGACGGGUAGCCGGCCUGAGAGGGCGACCGGCCACACUGGGACUGAGACACGGCCCAGACUCCUACGGGAGGCAGCAGUGGGGAAUCUUGCGCAAUGGGCGAAAGCCUGACGCAGCGACGCCGCGUGAGGGAUGACGGCCUCGGU